UGGGGAAUUUUGGACAAUGGGCGAAAGCCUGAUCCAGCAAUGCCGCGUGUGUGAAGAAGGCCUUCGGGUUGUAAAGCACUUUUGUCCGGAAAGAAAUGGCUCUGGUUAAUACCUGGGGUCGAUGACGGUACCGGAAGAAUAAGGACCGGCUAACUACGUGCCAGCAGCCGCGGUAAUACGUAGGGUCCAAGCGUUAAUCGGAAUUACUGGGCGUAAAGCGUGCGCAGGCGGUUGUGCAAGACCGAUGUGAAAUCCCCGAGCUUAACUUGGGAAUUGCAUUGGUGACUGCACGGCUAGAGUGUGUCAGAGGGGGGUAGAAUUCCACGUGUAGCAGUGAAAUGCGUAGAGAUGUGGAGGAAUACCGAUGGCGAAGGCAGCCCCCUGGGAUAACACUGACGCUCAUGCACGAAAGCGUGGGGAGCAAACAGGAUUAGAUACCCUGGUAGUCCACGCCCUAAACGAUGUCAACUAGUUGUUGGGGAUUCAUUUCCUUAGUAACGUAGCUAACGCGUGAAGUUGGACCGCCUGGGGAGUACGGUCGCAAGAUUAAAAAGC
rnacentral:rRNA from 1 species